GCAGUCGCCGCGGUAAUACGUAGGUGGCAAGCGUUGUCCGGAAUUAUUGGGCGUAAAGGGCUCGCAGGCGGUUUCUUAAGUCUGAUGUGAAAGCCCCCGGCUCAACCGGGGAGGGUCAUUGGAAACUGGGAAACUUGAGUGCAGAAGAGGAGAGUGGAAUUCCACGUGUAGCGGUGAAAUGCGUAGAGAUGUGGAGGAACACCAGUGGCGAAGGCGACUCUCUGGUCUGUAACUGACGCUGAGGAGCGAAAGCGUGGGGAGCGAACAGGAUUAGAUACCCGCGUAGUCCCUGUCUCUUAUAC
rnacentral:rRNA from 1 species